rnacentral:misc_RNA from 1 species
AUUUUUUACUAAUAAAUAAGAUAAUUUGCAUUUAUUUUAGUUCUAACAAAUGAAAUGUUCCAAAGAGUUGCUAGAAACAUAAUGAUAACAACUGCCAGCCAUGGCCCAUAAGCAGAAUCCAUAUCUAGCAUCAUAUCUCAGUUAUCAACAUGGAUUACAAAAGUGUCCUAACAAAGCAAAAUUAAAUGAGAAAAAGUACAAAAUC